UCAAGCGCUGUCAGCGUCGCAGUCGUGUUCGGAAUUUUUUCCUACUUUAUUAUACGAAAAAUAAUUUGAAAAGUUUUAAUAUUGGCAAAAUAAGUUUGCGUACGCAUCCGGAAAUAUUAUCUUGGGUUCAGUUUGAGGUAUAAAAGAGAGAUUUUCUCAGAAACCUGCCAUUGCAUGGAUGGAUUUCCGAAGAGUACAGUUGAAAUACUAUCAGGAGAUAAGAUUCUCGCAUAAUGUUGACGAAGUGUAUGAUCUUGAUACUGAUGAUGGCAAGUUGGCAAAACACCGCUUCCCCACACAUUGUCACACCGGCCGUGUACCCAAAGCUGCCCCUGCAGUUCUGCAUGAAACAUUUGCCGAUUAUUGUGACUAAAUUUCUGUGUACAGUAAGCGACGAUAUGUUAUCAGACCAAUUUGAAGAUAUGGCUCUACCAAUUUUAAAACGAUGGAACUCCGAGGAAAUAAACUUCAAAACCUGUUGCACCAGACCCUGCACGUUAGAUGAACUGCUGAGCCUCUGUUAAACCUAAGGAUCCUGGAAUUGAAAAAAUCUGAUCGUGGAUUCAAUGCGACAACUUAAAGAUGACAUUAUGCACAGUAUCUCGUUUAUAGUACCAAGGAUAUAGAUAUAGGUAUCUAUGUAUAUUAUUCAAAUAUUACUGAAUAUUUAUUACUUAACUAUUGAAUAAGUAAACCAUACAAACAUAGAUUAUUGCAUGUGAUGAAUGCAAAGAAAUGUUACAAAAGUGAAACAAAUUUAAAUAAAUUAAGCUUAAUGCUUAUUUUGUUUGUCGAUUGCAGCCAAAGGGUUUUGUAUAAUGUAUAAAAAUACUAAUAAACCAUGCUUAGCAAAAGAAAAA
rnacentral:lncRNA from 1 species